UGUCGUUCUCCUGAGUUGGCUUCUCACCA
rnacentral:piRNA from 1 species